UUCAUACGUCCUCCGUCCAACAAAAGAUAUCUCAAGUUUAUCAAAUUUUGGAUGUACGUAGACAUGAAUUAGUGUAUAGAUGCAUUCAAAUUUAGUCAAAGAGGAUACAUUAUUUAUUGGACGGAGGAAGUAAUAU
rnacentral:pre_miRNA from 1 species